rnacentral:lncRNA from 1 species
GAUAUGUGUGAGGUGUGUAUGAAGAGUGUGUGUGUGAGUGAGAGUGCAUGUGGUGUGUGUGAGAUAUGUGUGAGGUGUGCAUGAAGAGUGAGUGUGUUAGUGAAAGAGAGUGCAUGUGGUGUGUGUGAGAUAUGUGUGAGGUGUGCAUGAAGAGUGAGUGUGUUAGUGAAAGAGAGUGCAUGUGGUGUGUGUGAGAUAUGUGUGAGGUGUGUAUGAAGAGUGUGUGUGUGAGUGAAAGGAGAGUGCGUGUGGUGUGUGUGAGAUAAGUGUGAGGUGUGCAUGAAGAGUGUGUGUGUGAGUGAAAG